AUUGAACGCUGGCGGCAUGCCUUACACAUGCAAGUCGAACGGCAGCACGGGAGUAAUCCUGGUGGCGAGUGGCGAACGGGUGAGUAAUACAUCGGAACGUGCCCAGUAGUGGGGGAUAGCCCGGCGAAAGCCGGAUUAAUACCGCAUACGACCUACGGGUGAAAGCGGGGGAUCGCAAGACCUCGCGCUAUCGGAGCGGCCGAUGUCAGAUUAGGUUGUUGGUGGGGUAAAGGCCUACCAAGCCGACGAUCUGUAGCUGGUCUGAGAGGACGACCAGCCACACUGGGACUGAGACACGGCCCAGACUCCUACGGGAGGCAGCAGUGGGGAAUUGUUCACAAUGGGCGCAAGCCUGAUGACGCAACGCCGCGUGGAGGAUGAAGGUCUUCGGAUUGUAAACUCCUGUUG
rnacentral:rRNA from 1 species